GUCUGAAGUUAGUGAGUUAUUUCAAUUGAUUGGUCACAGUUAGUUACAGAUUGAACUCCUUGUUCUACUCUUUUCUCUCUUCUCACUAUGGAACUUAAAGACAAUC
rnacentral:Y_RNA from 1 species